UGAACGCUGGCGGCGUGCUUAACACAUGCAAGUCGUACGAGAACUCUUUAGCUUGCUAAAGAUAGUAAAGUGGCGCACGGGUGAGUAACGCGUGGGUAAUCUACCUUCGAAUCGGGGAUAACAUUGCGAAAGCGAUGCUAAUACCGGAUAAUAUCUCAAAACCAUUAGUUUUUGAGAUCAAAAAUGGCCUCUACAUGUAAGCUGUUGUUUGGAGACGAGCCCGCGUACCAUUAGCUUGUUGGUAGGGUAAUGGCCUACCAAGGCAACGAUGGUUAGCUGGUCUGAGAGGAUGAUCAGCCACACUGGAACUGACACACGGUCCAGACUCCUACGGGAGGCAGCAGUGAGGAAUUUUGCGCAAUGGGGGAAACCCUGACGCAGCAACGCCGCGUGAGUGAUGAAGGCCUUCGGGUCGUAAAGCUCUGUCAAGUGGGAAGAAAAUGUAAAAUGUUAAUACCAUUUUUCACUGACGGUACCACUGAAGGAAGCACCGGCUAACUCC
rnacentral:rRNA from 1 species